AUCUCUUCUCUGCCUUUUAGCUAAGAUCAAAUGUAGUAUCUGUUCUUAUCAGUUUAGUAUCUGAUAUGUUCCCUAUCUGGGGAUCAUGUUGUUAAUGGAUUUUUGGGCAUGUUGAUGGAUGAAGAGCUUGCUCUGUCCACUCCAUGCCUUGACCUGGUGUACCUUCCGGUUUGUUACAUCUGCA